rnacentral:rRNA from 1 species
UACAGAGGUCUCAAGCGUUGUUCGGAUUCAUUGGGCGUAAAGGGUGCGUAGGUGGCGCGGUAAGUCGGGUGUGAAAUUUCGGAGCUUAACUCCGAAACUGCAUUCGAUACUGCCGUGCUUGAGGACUGGAGAGGAGACUGGAAUUUACGGUGUAGCAGUGAAAUGCGUAGAUAUCGUAAGGAGGACCAGUGGCGAAGGCGGGUCUCUGGACAGUUCCUGACACUGAGGCACGAAGGCCAGGGGAGCAAACGGG